UAUGUUUUCCAUAUGUCACCAAAACAUUAUUUUUCUCCACUCAUCUCUUCCUCUUUACAUCAUCUCUACUUUCCUCUCCAUUAGGCCUCCUCCAUGCCAUGGUUUCCUCCUCCUCCUCCUCCUCCUCCUCCUCGAAGCACUGCAAGAAAAACGACUCCUUCAAUGGCUGCUCCAACCCCACCAAGAAACCAAGACUUUCUUUCAUUUCUGACUCUGAAAUCCAAUCAGAGUUCUCCCACCAUGACCAAACCAUCUCUCGGAUUAACAACGGCAGCUUUGGGAGCUGUCCUCAAUCUGUCAUCUCUGCCCAGCAAAGCUUCCAGCUCCAGUUCCUCCGCCAGCCUGAUCACUUCUACUUCAACACCCUCAAAUCUUCUAUCCUUCAUUCACGUUCCAUCAUCAAAUCUUUGGUAAACGCUCGUUCUGUUGAUGAAAUCUCCCUUGUGGACAAUGCCACCACUGCUGUUGCCAUUGUUUUACAGAACUAUGCAUGGGGUUUUACUGAAGGGAGAUUUAACAAAGGAGAUGUUGCUGUCAUGUUGCAUUAUGCUUAUGGUGCUGUAAAAAAGUCUGUUCAGGCUUAUGUGACGCGUGCUGGAGGGGAAGUUAUUGAGGUACAGUUACCUUUCCCUAUUACAUCAAAGGAAGAGAUCGUGAGUGAAUUUAGAAAGGCUUUAGAGAGAGGUAAAGAAAAUGGGAAGAAGAAAGUUAGGUUGGCUGUGAUUGAUCAUGUUACUUCAAUGCCAAGUGUUGUUAUUCCUGUUAAAGAAUUAGUUAAGAUUUGUAGAGAGGAAGGUGUUGAUCAGGUUUUUGUUGAUGCUGCUCAUGGAAUUGGGUGUGUUGAUGUUGAUGUGAGAGAUAUUGGGGCUGAUUUUUAUACUAGUAAUUUGCAUAAGUGGUUUUUUUGCCCUCCUUCUAUUGCCUUUUUGUAUUGCAGGAAGAGAGGAGAGGAGGGCAAUGGGGGUGAUCUGCAUCACCCUGUCGUGUCUCAUGAGUAUGGUAAUGGAUUGGCUGUAGAGAGUGCUUGGAUUGGGACUAGGGAUUAUAGUGCUCAAUUGGUUGUUCCAGCGGUUUUGGAGUUUAUUAAUAGGUUUGAAGGUGGGAUUGACGGAAUUAAGGAGAGGAAUCAUGAAAAAGUUGUGGAGAUGGGGGAGAUGUUGGUGAAAGCUUGGGGGACUAAUCUUGGGUCUCCACCGGAGAUGUGUGGGAGUAUGAUUAUGGUUGGAUUGCCUGCUUGUUUGGGGAUUUCGAGCGAGUCGGAUUCUUUGAAGUUAAGGACACAUUUGAGAGAGCAUUUCCAGGUUGAAGUUCCUAUUUAUUUUAGAGCUCCGCUUGAUGGAGAAGUUGGUUCAGUUACUGGCUAUGCUCGGAUUUCUCAUCAAGUUUACAACAAGGUUGAGGAUUAUUACAGGUUUAGGGAUGCAGUUAACCAACUGAUCAGUGAUGGCUUCACUUGUGCAUCUCUCUCUGAUUGAAGAGGUUUGCUUUCCUAGAGCAGCUAUACCUUUCCAGUUUCGGACUUCUCUCCUCCAGGUGCAUGUCAAAUUCCCUAGCUUUUGUCUUACUUUCCUAGUACUCUACUGGAGAGAGUGUUCUGGUCUUUGAUUCAGGGUAUUUACUGGGGUUCUUGUGUGGGAUUUACCUGCAAAACAGUAUCUAUUCAAGGACCAUCCUUGGAAUGUCUCAUAUACAUGGCAGUGUUUAAAUAGAUUGUUCCCUGCGAUUCCUUCAUCUAUCUUUGAAUGAACAGAAGAAUUAUUCUGUGUAAGAUUUUCUCUUCUAUAUUUGAGGGUAAUUGCAAUAAAUGGUUGUAUCUAAAUUGAUUGAAAUGAAAUUAGAGAGCACAAUUUGUAAGAAUGAACAUGCUCCAAAGCAAUUAAUCUGCUGGUAGAGGCUGCUCCUCCACCAGUUCCAUGCAGCUGAAUUCCUUUAGCUACAACACGCAGGAUGAUUCAUGCAUUAGUCUUCUUGAAAACAGCCUGGCCAUUAGUGAAUAUGUCCAUGUACAUUUCAACGAGGUAUGGUAGAAGUGUUCCAAUAAAUAACAGCAAGUGGCCAUGGUUUCGGUACCAUGACUCGCAAAAGUUGACGAACAAACUUGAGAUUGAUGAUGAGUAUCAGAGCUCCAAGAUUGUUCCUCUACUUUCUUUCUUUUGAAUUUGUAGAGGAGAUGAACUUGUCUGUUCUUCUCCCUAGUGAUAUCCUUGUAAAUAUUAUCAUUAACCUAUUUUAAUUCUUGUAGGGCUCAAAAAAGCUAGAGCUUAUCACAUUUAACAGUUGACCUUAACUAUCAGUUUGUGUGCUUGUAUUGUAACCCAAUAUGCCGUGGAGAUUGUAUCUGAUAUAUUUAUUAGAUUUCUGGUUUUUGUGUU